rnacentral:lncRNA from 1 species
ACCACCGCCGAAUCCCAGCCACCGAUCGCCACCCCAGCCUUCCGCUCCUUCAUCAACAAGAUCUCCGACACCGUCCGCAACGGCCUCUCCCAGCGCCGCCCCUGGGCAGAGCUCACCGACCGCUCCGCGUGGGCAGAGCUCGCCGACCGAUCCGCCUUCUCCAAGCCGGAUUCCGUCUCCGACGCCACUCUCCGCCUCCGCAAGAACUACGCCUACUUCCGCGUCAAUUACCUCACCGCGGUGGCCGCGAUCCUCGCCUUCUCGUUGAUCUCCCA